UCACUGGUGGUCCAGUGGCUAGGACUCUGUACUCUGAAUGCAGGGGGCCCAGGUUCCAUCCCUGGUCAGGGAA
rnacentral:tRNA from 1 species